UGAGGAAUAUUGGUCAAUGGGCGAGAGCCUGAACCAGCCAAGUAGCGUGCAGGAUGACGGCCCUAUGGGUUGUAAACUGCUUUUAUGUGGGGAUAAAGUGCGUGACGUGUCAUGCAUUGCAGGUACCACAUGAAUAAGGACCGGCUAAUUCCGUGCCAGCAGCCGCGGUAAUACGGAAGGUCCGGGCGUUAUCCGGAUUUAUUGGGUUUAAAGGGAGCGUAGGCGGUCUAUUAAGCGUGUUGUGAAAUAUACCGGCUAAACCGGUGGCUUGCAGCGCGAACGGGUCGACGUGAGUAUGCAGGAAGUAGGCGGAAUUCAUGGUGUAGCGGUGAAAUGCUUAGAUAUCAUGACGAACUCCGAUUGCGCAGGCAGCUUACUGUAGCAUAACGGACGCUGAUGCUCGAAAGUGCGGGUAUCAAACAGG
rnacentral:rRNA from 1 species